rnacentral:rRNA from 1 species
UCGGGAAUUUUGGGCAAUGGGCGAAAGCCUGACCCAGCAACGCCGCGUGAAGGAUGAAGUAUUUCGGUAUGUAAACUUCGUAAGAAUAGGAAGAAUAAAUGACGGUACUAUUUGUAAGGUCCGGCUAACUACGUGCCAGCAGCCGCGGUAAUACGUAGGGACCAAGCGUUGUUCGGAUUUACUGGGCAUAAAGGGCGCGUAGGCGGUGUGUCAAGUCAGUUGUGAAAUCUCCGAGCUUAACUCGGAACGGUCAACUGAUACUGUCACACUAGAGUACAGAAGGGGCAAUCGGAAUUCUUGGUGUAGCGGUGAAAUGCGUAGAUAUCAAGAGGAACACCUGAGGCGAAGGCGGGUUGCUGGGCUGAUACUGACGCUGAGGCGCGAAAGCUAGGGUAGCAAACGGGAUUAGAUACCCUUGUAGUCCCUGAGCGGGCUGGCAAGGCGCAU